UACGUAGGGGGCAAGCGUUGUCCGGAUUUAUUGGGCGUAAAGAGCGUGUAGGCGGCUUUGCAAGUCCGUUGUGAAAACUCGAGCUCAACCUCGAGACGCCGGUGGAAACUGCAAAGCUAGAGUCCGGAAGAGGAGAGUGGAAUUCCUGGUGUAGCGGUGAAAUGCGCAGAUAUCAGGAAGAACAGCCCGUGGCGAAGGCGGCUCCUCUGGGACGGUACUGACGCUGAGAGCGAAAGCGUGGGGAGCGAACAGG
rnacentral:rRNA from 1 species